rnacentral:rRNA from 1 species
AUACGGAGGGUGCAAACGUUGUUCGGAAUUACUGGGCGUAAAGCGCGCGUAGGCGGUUUGUUAAGUCAGAUGUGAAAGCCCACAGCUCAACUGUGGAAGUGCAUUUGAAACUGGCAGACUUGAGUACUGGAGGGGGUGGUGGAAUUCCCGGUGUAGAGGUGAAAUUCGUAGAUAUCGGGAGGAAUACCGGUGGCGAAGGCGACCACCUGGCCAGAUACUGACGCUGAGGUGCGAAAGCGUGGGGAGCAAACAGGAUUAGAUACCCUAGUAGUCC